rnacentral:rRNA from 1 species
AUGAUUAAACCUCUUCCAGAGUAUCAAUUGGAGGGCAAGUCUGGUGCCAGCAGCCGCGGUAAUUCCAGCUCCAAUAGCGUAUAUUAAAAUUGUUGCAGUUAAAAAGCUCGUAGUUGAAUUUCUGCUACAUUGCCUAUUCUCCUUUACGAGUUUGGGUCUUUUGUGGCUUAUCUGGGUUCGCUUGCGUUCCCGGUGUUUUACUUUGAGAAAAUUAGAGUGCUCAAAGCAGGCUUUUGCCUUGAAUAGUUUAGCAUGGAAUAAUAAAGUAGGACUUUGGUUCUAUUUUGUUGGUUUUAGGUACCAAAGUAAUGGUUAAUAGGAACAGUUGGGGGCAUUCGUAUUUAACUGUCAGAGGUGAA